ensembl:lincRNA Gm12746 predicted gene 12746
AAGGGGCUCACAGCUGCUGGGCUGUGAACAAGCUGGACUUGGCUGUCUCACAACUGAAGAGGCAUUGAAGGGCAGGCUGGCGAUCCAGGCAAAGGGGACUGGGAGGAUUUCCUCCACUGGGACUGUCCCAAGAAAACCCUGGACCAACCCUGUCUCAGGCAGGUCAGAGCUCCAAGAUGGCUCAGCAGGAAAAGGUGUCUAUCACCAAGACUGACAGCUCAACCUGGGGCUCAGGCUGUAGAAGGAGAAAGCUGACUCUUGAAAGUUGUCCUGUGACAUAUAGCAUCACACACACACACACACACACACACACACACACACACCCGCGCAGCUGACUCUUGAAAGUUGUCCUGUGACAUAUAGCAUCACACACACACACACCCGCGCCUAGGCUCUUUAACCACAGAGAUAGAAACAAGGCCGGAGGGUGGGGUACCUCCUCUGUGUUCAUGUCUUCUCAGUGGCUCUGACCCUGCUCUGUACUCUUCUAUCUGGUCUCGGUCUUUUAACAUUCACUUCUGCUGUGUCACUUUCCUGGCCAGACAACUUUAGGGACCCUCCACCCCCUCCCCCAGCCCCUAUUCUGAGGAAUAGAUUCCAGCUCCCACACCUUCCAUGC